UACGUAGGUGGCAAGCGUUGUCCGGAAUUAUUGGGCGUAAAGCGCGCGCAGGCGGGCCUUUAAGUCUGAUGUGAAAGCCCACGGCUCAACCGUGGAGGGUCAUUGGAAACUGGGGGACUUGAGUGCAGAAGAGGAGAGUGGAAUUCCACGUGUAGCGGUGAAAUGCGUAGAUAUCUGGAGGAACACCGGUGGCGAAGGCGGCAUUCUGGACCAAAACUGACACUGAGAGACGAAAGCCAGGGGAGCAAACGGG
rnacentral:rRNA from 1 species